CAGCCGCCGCGGUAAUACCGGCGGCCCGAGUGGCGGUCACUAUUAUUGGGCUUAAAGCGUCCGUAGCCGGGUUGGGAAGUCCUCCGGGAAAUCUGGCCGCUUAACGGUCAGAAUGCCGGAGGAUACUCCCAGCCUAGGGAGCGGGAGAGGCCGAGGGGAUUCCCGGGGUAGGGGUGGAAUCCUAUAAUCCCGGGAGGACCACCUGUGGCGAAGGCGCUCGGCUGGAACGCGUCCGACGGUGAGGGACGAAGGCCAGGGGAGCAAACCGGAUUAGAUACCCGGGUAGUCCUGGCUGUAAACGAUGCGGACUUUGUGUCGGACAAGCUAUGAGCUUGUCCGGUGCCGGAGGGAAACCGUUAAGUCCGCCGCCUGGGGAGUACGGCCGCAAGGCUGAAACUUAAAGGAAUUGGCGGG
rnacentral:rRNA from 1 species